GAUGAACGCUGGCGGCGUGCCUAAUACAUGCAAGUCGAGCGAACGGACGAGAAGCUUGCUUCUCUGAUGUUAGCGGCGGACGGGUGAGUAACACGUGGAUAACCUACCUAUAAGACUGGGAUAACUUCGGGAAACCGGAGCUAAUACCGGAUAAUAUUUUGAACCGCAUGGUUCAAAAGUGAAAGACGGUCUUGCUGUCACUUAUAGAUGGAUCCGCGCUGCAUUAGCUAGUUGGUAAGGUAACGGCUUACCAAGGCAACGAUGCAUAGCCGACCUGAGAGGGUGAUCGGCCACACUGGAACUGAGACACGGUCCAGACUCCUACGGGAGGCAGCAGUAGGGAAUCUUGCGCAAUGGGCGAAAGCCUGACGGAGCAACGCCGCGUGAGUGAUGAAGGUCUUCGGAUCGUAAAACUCUGUUAUUAGGGAAGAACAGAUGUGUAAGUAACUGUGCACAUCUUGACGGUACCUAAUCAGAAAGCCCCGGCUAACUACGUG
rnacentral:rRNA from 1 species